rnacentral:rRNA from 1 species
GGUUAAGCGACUAAGCGUACACGGUGGAUGCCCUGGCAGUCAGAGGCGAUGAAGGACGUGCUAAUCUGCGAUAAGCGUCGGUAAGGUGAUAUGAACCGUUAUAACCGGCGAUUUCCGAAUGGGGAAACCCAGUGUGUUUCGACACACUAUCAUUAACUGAAUCCAUAGGUUAAUGAGGCGAACCGGGGGAACUGAAACAUCUAAGUACCCCGAGGAAAAGAAAUCAACCGAGAUUCCCCCAGUAGCGGCGAGCGAACGGGGAGCAGCCCAGAGCCUGAAUCAGUGUGUGUGUUAGUGGAAGCGUCUGGAAAGGCGCGCGAUACAGGGUGACAGCCCCGUACACAAAAAUGCACAUACUGUGAGCUCGAUGAGUAGGGCGGGACACGUGGUAUCCUGUCUGAAUAUGGGGGGACCAUCCUCCAAGGCUAAAUACUCCUGACUGACCGAUAGUGAACCAGUACCGUGAGGGAAAGGCGAAAAGAACCCCGGCGAGGGGAGUGAAAAAGAACCUGAAACCGUGUACGUACAAGCAGUGGGAGCACGCUUCGGCGUGUGACUGCGUACCUUUUGUAUAAUGGGUCAGCGACUUAUAUUCUGUAGCAAGGUUAACCGAAUAGGGGAGCCGAAGGGAAACCGAGUCUUAACUGGGCGUUAAGUUGCAGGGUAUAGACCCGAAACCCGGUGAUCUAGCCAUGGGCAGGUUGAAGGUUGGGUAACACUAACUGGAGGACCGAACCGACUAAUGUUGAAAAAUUAGCGGAUGACUUGUGGCUGGGGGUGAAAGGCCAAUCAAACCGGGAGAUAGCUGGUUCUCCCCGAAAGCUAUUUAGGUAGCGCCUCGUGAAUUCAUCUCCGGGGGUAGAGCACUGUUUCGGCAAGGGGGUCAUCCCGACUUACCAACCCGAUGCAAACUGCGAAUACCGGAGAAUGUUAUCACGGGAGACACACGGCGGGUGCUAACGUCCGUCGUGAAGAGGGAAACAACCCAGACCGCCAGCUAAGGUCCCAAAGUCAUGGUUAAGUGGGAAACGAUGUGGGAAGGCCCAGACAGCCAGGAUGUUGGCUUAGAAGCAGCCAUCAUUUAAAGAAAGCGUAAUAGCUCACUGGUCGAGUCGGCCUGCGCGGAAGAUGUAACGGGGCUAAACCAUGCACCGAAGCUGCGGCAGCGACACUAUGUGUUGUUGGGUAGGGGAGCGU